rnacentral:rRNA from 1 species
UACGGAGGGAGCUAGCGUUGUUCGGAAUUACUGGGCGUAAAGCGCACGUAGGCGGCUAUUCAAGUCGGGGGUGAAAGCCCGGGGCUCAACCCCGGAACUGCCCUCGAAACUAGAUAGCUAGAAUCUUGGAGAGGCGAGUGGAAUUCCGAGUGUAGAGGUGAAAUUCGUAGAUAUUCGGAAGAACACCAGUGGCGAAGGCGACUCGCUGGACAGACAUUGACGCUGAGGUGCGAAAGCGUGGGGAGCAAACAGG